rnacentral:rRNA from 1 species
UGCCAGCCGCCGCGGUAAUACGGAGGGUCCAAGCGUUGUCCGGAUUUAUUGGGUUUAAAGGGUGCGUAGGCGGCCUUAUAAGUCAGUGGUGAAAUCCUUCGGCUCAACCGGAGAACUGCCAUUGAAACUGUAAGGCUUGAGUACAGACGAGGUAGGCGGAAUUUAUGGUGUAGCGGUGAAAUGCAUAGAUACCAUAAAGAACACCUAUAGCGAAGGCAGCUUACUAGGCUAGUAUUGACGCUCAGGCACGAAAGCGUGGGGAGCAAACAGGAUUAGAUA